GAGUUAUGAGUGGUGUUUGUCUUGAUAAACUAGAGUAUUUUGUUUUUCCGUUGCUGCUGUAUAAACUUGGAUGGAUGCAGCAAAAAGUUUAAUUUAUCCAAGUACAGCGUACCGUGCUUUCAGAAACUAGGCAAGAGCUUGGGGUAUGCAUGAAAGUUGUCCUGUGGGCACCCAAUGAGUCUAGAUGACUUAAAAAUCAGUGUUUCCAGCCCUAAAGAGCUGGACAGUUUUAAGUAUCUGGAUGUUUUAGAGCGACGCUUGAACUGCGAUGUUGAUGAGAGGGAUGCAGUGCUUUUGAGGCAUUUUUUUCUCUCAAUUUAUAGCAUUUUGGCAGGCAGACAAGUAAGGAACGAUCAGACAGUAUUAUCAGCACAAAGUGAACAACCAAACCAUCGAGAACUGGAAGCACAUUCCGCUGGAAUUGAAAAAGGCGUGGACAUUUAUUUGCAUAGUGUAUUAGUGCCUCUACUUACCAUCCCCAAUGAUCCACCGCAACGAAAUCGUCAUAUUUGAACACUACAAAGCCGCUGGUACUAUCAGGUUUUCUUCGGAUCAAAUUUGGGAAAGAAUAUAAAUCUUUAUUUAUUAAAAAUA